UCCUCCAGACACGCGCACGCUCACGCCACGCACGCACCGCUUCUUGAGGCCCCGAGGAAGGACUGAGGACACGGGCACAAUAGGAGACGAGAACCAGACGAAAGAAAAAGAGAAUAUGAGAAGGAGAGAAGGACAGAGACGCAGAUAUUCAUUUACAUUCCCUCAGCAAGUAAUCAAUGCUGUCAAUCCUUCUGCUGUGGCUGGUGGCGGCGGGCGGCGCGGUGCUAGGGGCGGAGGACCAAACCCCUGGAGCGGCGCCUUUGACCGACCAGCUGAACUUCCUCGAGACAGUGAGCAAGGGACUGAACGUGGCGCAGGUACCCGCUGGCCCUGACACCUCGAGCGACACUGAUGACUUGCGCCAGGCUGUACCGCUCCUGAGACCGACGUUAGGGCAGGGACAGACCUUCGGGCAGACCAUGGACGCCCCGUCCUACACCCCAAGCGAGGGAUCCUGUGGGAACACCUGCGGGCAAGAGCCGUCCUGUUGCCCGAAACCUAAGCCGUGUCCGCCCUGCCCAAUCUGCCCCCCGUGCGGCCCAUGUCCAAUCUGCCCCUCCUGUGAGCCCUGCCCGGCCUGCCCCGAGUGCAAGCCCUGCAAGCCCAAAUGCCCGUGUUCUGAGCCCUGUGGAACAUGUUCUGAGGAUGCAGCUUCUCAAAGGCUGUUUGAGGACUCGAACCCGGGACUCAGUGCUCAGAAUGGCGCCGCUGAGCCACAGAUCGACUAAUGAGAUUUACCUUGGCGAUUGUUUCUUCUCUUAAUGACCAAUAAUACACGAAUAAACCCGUACGAAUAUUUUUUUCAUGCUAGUA